rnacentral:rRNA from 1 species
GGAGAAUCGUACAGGUUUCGUAGGUGACCUGCGGAAAGGAUCAUUGUCGAAACCUGCAAAGCAGACCGCGAACACGUAACCAACGCAAUUCCCGGCCGGCGCGCUCCCCGUGACGCGCCGCCCGGGCUAACUAACCCCGGCGCGGAAUGCGCCAAGGAAAACCGAACGAAGCGACCGACCCCCGCGCCCCGUUCGCGGAGCGCGCGGGGGACCGGCCGUCUAUCUAAAUGUCAUAACGACUCUCGGCAACGGAUAUCUCGGCUCUCGCAUCGAUGAAGAACGUAGCGAAAUGCGAUACUUGGUGUGAAUUGCAGAAUCCCGUGAACCAUCGAGUCUUUGAACGCAAGUUGCGCCCGAAGCCGUCAGGCCGAGGGCACGUCUGCCUGGGCGUCACGCAUCGCGUCGCCCCCCUCCCCUCGCACAGCGAGGGCGAGGCGGGGCGGAUACUGGCCUCCCGUGCGCCCCGGCGCGCGGCUGGCCCAAAUGUGAUCCGCCGGCGACUCGUGUCGCGACGAGUGGUGGUUGAAUUUCUCAAUCUCGCAGCGUCGCGCCCCCGUGUCGUCCGGACGGGCAUCAAUGAACGACCCAACGGUGCUGCGCACCAUCGACCGCGACCCCAGGUCAGGCGGGAUCACCCGCUGAGUUUAAGCAUAUCAAAAGGCGGGAAGGAAAAAAUUUUCAA